GUUUGAGUUAAAUGUCUUUUAAUCACCUGAUUUUUAAUUGCUAAAGUUAUAAUGACAAUUGAUUUGAAAUAUUUUUCCAUUUUGUAUAAAAGGAGAUGUUAGUUAAUAGAGAAAAUCAUUCUAACUUUUAAACAAUUAACUGAUUAUCUGAAUUUUGUUAGUGUGUUUAAAUCACUCAACUCAAUCCCAACAAAUAAAAUGGACUCCAAAUCAAUUGUCGUUUAUGUCGCUCUCUUUGCUUCAGCCAUCGCAAUGGCUUUUGCUAACCCAGAGCCCGAACCUGAGCCACAACCAAUUUUAGGCGCUCUUCAGAAUAUCCUUGGUUAAUCAACGUAACAAUUGAAGAAAUAAGAAUAAAAGAAAAUUUUAUUCUGAUUGUAUUUUAAUUGUCGUGAAGAUUAUUAAGUUAAUAGCAACAGUUAUGGAUUAAUAAGAAUACUAAUAAAAUCAAAGCAUUUGAAACAAAUAA